GAAAUUUCUGGGUGUAUAUUUUUCUCUUUCAUGCAGUUACAGAAUGAGAUCUAGAAUGGUUCCAGUAAUCUAUAGCCAAAAGGAGACUGCGAAGGGAAGCCCUGCCUAACAGAGUCAAAGUGAAAUACAGUCACUUCUCUCCUAGGAGCCUACAACUGAAUACAUGAGGUUGGAAGAAAGACUGGAAUACUGGGAGCAAGAAGAAAAUAUUAAGUGAGGAAGGACACGUGCAUGGACGUCCUCUCAUGUCAGACCUUAAAAGCAAUGGCCCCAGUUUUCUCUGACCAGGUAAAAGAACAUUUCUUAAUCAGAAGUACACUACAGGAUAAAAGUGAUUUAAUGGUAGGUGAUUAUACUUUACUUUAAAUACCUUGGCAAAUGAUUGGAAGUAUAUUGUUCAU
rnacentral:lncRNA from 1 species